CUCUUUAAGUUUUUGUUGUCAGAAGCCAAGUGGGCAUUUUAUUUAUUUUUUGUCUGUAUGCAAUUGGAUUUUUCCAUAUAUUGAGCAGGUGUCUCUUUAAGUUUUUGUUGUCAGAAGCCAAGUGGGUUUUUUGUUGAUAAUUUUUUUCAAAUUUUUUAGGACAAGAAAUGGAGUACGCACAAGCAGUAAGUUAACACCCAUACACUUUUUUUCAAAACUAUGGUUGUCAAUGUUUAAG